rnacentral:rRNA from 1 species
UACGAAGGGUGCUAGCGUUGCUCGGAAUUACUGGGCGUAAAGCGCACGUAGGCGGUCUUUUAAGUCGGGGGUGAAAUCCUGGAGCUCAACUCCAGAACUGCCUUCGAUACUGAAAGACUUGAGUCCGGGAGAGGUGAGUGGAACUGCGAGUGUAGAGGUGAAAUUCGUAGAUAUUCGCAAGAACACCAGUGGCGAAGGCGGCUCACUGGCCCGGUACUGACGCUGAGGUGCGAAAGCGCGGGGAGCAAACAGG